rnacentral:lncRNA from 1 species
UUGGGUUAUAAAAUCCUCAUCGUAGUCCUCACAACUACCAUUACAUCAUGACAUAGAACACCCCUAGGGCUACCAGGUGUCUUUACAUCCAGCUAUAGAACACCCCUAGGGCAACCAGGUGUCUUUACAUCCAGCUAUAGAACACCCCUAGGGCAACCAGGUGUCUUCUACACCCAGCAUAACAUCCAGCUAUAGAACACCCCUAGGGCAACCAGGUGUCUUCUACACCCAGCAUAACAUCCAGCUAUAGAAAACCCCUAGGGCAACCAGGUGUCUUCUACACCCAGCAUAACAUCCAGCUAUAGAACACCCCUAGGGCAACCAGGUGUCUUCUACACCCAGCAUAACAUCCAGCAAUAGAACACCCCUAGGGCAACCAGGUGUCUUUACAUCCAGCAAUAGAACACCCCUAGGGCAACCAGGUGUGGCAGCUCCUGAUCAAGAAACUUACCAAUUGGUGCA